rfam:Eucalyptus grandis cultivar BRASTZ1 unplaced genomic scaffold scaffold_3076, whole genome shotgun sequence.
GGGUGCGAUCAUAGCAGCACUAACGCACCGGAUCCCAUCAGAACUCCGUAGUUAAGCGUGCUUCGGCGAGAGUAGUACUAGGAUGGGUGACCUCCUGGGAAGUCCUCGUGUUGCACCCC